rnacentral:rRNA from 1 species
AGGGAAUCUUCCGCAAUGGACGAAAGUCUGACGGAGCAACGCCGCGUGAGUGAUGAAGGCCUUCGGGUCGUAAAACUCUGUUGUUAGGGAAGAACAAGUAUCGGAGUAACUGCCGGUACCUUGACGGUACCUAACCAGAAAGCCACGGCUAACUACGUGCCAGCAGCCGCGGUAAUACGUAAGGGGCAAGCGUUGUCCGGAAUUAUUGGGCGUAAAGCGCGCGCAGGCGGUCCUUUAAGUCUGAUGUGAAAGCCCACGGCUCAACCGUGGAGGGUCAUUGGAAACUGGGGGACUUGAGUGCAGAAGAGGAAAGCGGAAUUCCACGUGUAGCGGUGAAAUGCGUAGAGAUGUGGAGGAACACCAGUGGCGAAGGCGGCUUUCUGGACUGUAACUGACGCUGAGGCAUGAAAGCGUGGGGAGCAAAC